GAUGAACGCUGGCGGCGUGCCUAAUACAUGCAAGUCGAGCGAACAGACGAGGAGCUUGCUCCUCUGACGUUAGCGGCGGACGGGUGAGUAACACGUGGAUAACCUACCUAUAAGACUGGGAUAACUUCGGGAAACCGGAGCUAAUACCGGAUAAUAUAUUGAACCGCAUGGUUCAAUAGUGAAAGACGGUUUUGCUGUCUCUUAUAGAUGGAUCCGCGCCGCAUUAGCUAGUUGGUAAGGUAACGGCUUACCAAGGCAACGAUGCGUAGCCGACCUGAGAGGGUGAUCGGCCACACUGGAACUGAGACACGGUCCAGACUCCUACGGGAGGCAGCAGUAGGGAAUCUUCCGCAAUGGGCGAAAGCCUGACGGAGCAACGCCGCAUGAGUGAUGAAGGUCUUCGGAUCGUAAAACUCUGUUAUUAGGGAAGAACAAAUGUGUAAGUAACUAUGCACGUCUUGACGGUACCUAAUCAGAAAGCCACGGCUAACUACGUG
rnacentral:rRNA from 1 species